rnacentral:sRNA from 1 species
AACAACCGCCCAAAAAAAAAAAUUAUAUAUGGCCCUUUUAGCCAUAUCCAUAUGAUCUUCACCUUCCUCUCUAGAUCAUCCAUAAACCACAUCUACUAUUUUCAAAAAGAUCCUCCAGGUGUCCCAAAAUCAAUCUUUGGCUGUGCCCACAUACCCACCGGGAUAUCCCCAAACCUCGUAUCAUUAUAUCUCUCUGUUCCUAACAAUGUUCUAUGCCCGGGAGUAACCACCUCGUCGACCUCCCUCCAUCUCCUUCUCUCUGCUGUAACGCCCGCAGACAUCCCAGUGCCUGUACUUGGCCCCGCCUCUCUAUCCUCUGCUGCAGGAUCUCCCGUCACAUCAGGCAGGGUAUCCGUCUGUAGUGGGUUAUCGGCGUAAUCAAUAGAGUCAAGAGACGCGCUUUCUAGACCAAACAUUGCGAUACGCAUAUAGUCUGCCGAAGCGGACCGGACCUGCGGAGCAGCUUCGGUAGGAAUGAUCGUACUGGGUAGAGGGGAAGCGUGGCGGGACGAAGAUGCAGAAACGGACCGACCAUAGGAAGAGCGAUACAUUGCAGAGGCAGAUCGAGGACGGGGAGGUGGAGAUUGGGUGAAUGCCCGGCUAAGGACUGCAGGUCGUUCAGAUCCAGCGCGAGAGCCGCGGGAGAUGAGAGCAGGGGGGGCAAGAAGGGAGUGCUGGCCAAGAAGAGAAGGUGUAGUAGAUUGAUUGGGCUGUGAGAUGGACCUUCGUACCAAUUUUGGCGAGCCUGAGCUAGGUGAUCCGGUCACGCCUACCCCGAGCCCUGGAUGGGGCUUGACGACUGGAAAGCGGAGCUGACCAGCAGAAGACAUGCGCUGCGCAGGCGGUGAAGGAGCCAGUUCUUCGCCUUCAUCAAUCCUCUCAAGCUCUGUCACCGCUGACAGAGAGAUGCCUUCCCCUGUUCUGCCGGGAGCCUGUCCUGAUGUUGAAGCUAACGUUGAUCUUUCGACUUGAAUGUCCUCAUCAGAACGAUCGGGUGUCGAUCCAUGCAAGUUAAGUAAUGUUCUUCCUGGUGUCAACCUUGAACCCAGCGCCUCUCCCUCUAAUGACGGACUCAUGCUCAUUAUAGGCGGCUCUGGCGUGGUAGCGAACUCGGGCGUUCGUUCAAUAACGAAUGGUGUUCUAAGCGGUGUACCUGUACGCGAACCGAGUUCUGGUGCACGCCAUUCUGAAGGAAGUCGCGGUGUUUGGGAGUUAUCGGGAAUAAUUCCCUGACGGGAAGGGGAUGGCGUCCGAGGUAAGACGCUGACAUGUCGCGAUGCAGAUGUAGAAGAUGGACCAGCAGCUGCAGGAGGGGCAAAGAAGUCUGGAGGAAAAAAUGAAGAAGCUUUGCGAGGUGAAGUUACAGAGGCGGAUGUUGAUGGUUCCCCUCGUCCGUUGUGUCGCACUCUCUUAACUUCAGCGUCUCCACUUUCCGAACGAUGUUCGGAAGGUAAGCGACGCUUGCCCAAGCUGGAGAAAGGGAGAGAUACGGAUCGAUGGUGAGACUGAGAUAUGCCAGCUGCACCAGGUAUGCGUGGACCACUAGAAGGACCAGGAAGUUGAGGAAACGGUCGUGGUGUGCGAAUCUGUGGAUUGUCAACUUGGAUAGACAAAGCCUCGAUGCCGAAUAACGUACUCUUUCCGCCCGUUCCAAUUCUUCGCAUUUUAAUCGAACUUCUCUAACUUCUUUUCUUAACCGUUCAAGCUCAUCACCUAACAGCUUCUCAACAUUCUCAAGCCGGGUAUGCCACUUCGUGUCAUUUUCAGAUAUUAUCGCUUGUACUUCUGCAAUGCUUAUUGUGGGGGUUUGCGGUAUUUGCUGUUGUGGCUGAGGUGUUAACGACGAUUGUGGAGUUGGUAUCGGUGGUCGACAGGGGAGCGGUGAUAAUUCUAUGGAUUAUGGAGUUGUUAGUAAUGACAUGAGAUCCUGG